rnacentral:rRNA from 1 species
ACGCUUUAGGAGGGGCCUGCGGCGGAUUAGCUAGUUGGUGAGGUAAUGGCCCACCAAGGCUUCGAUCCGUAGCUGGUCUGAGAGGAUGGCCAGCCAGACUGGGACUGAGACACGGCCCAG